rnacentral:rRNA from 1 species
GACGAACGCUGGCGGCGUGCUUAACACAUGCAAGUCGAACGGAAAGGCCCUGCUUUUGUGGGGUGCUCGAGUGGCGAACGGGUGAGUAACACGUGAGUAACCUGCCCUUGACUUUGGGAUAACUUCAGGAAACUGGGGCUAAUACCGGAUAGGAGCUCCUGCUGCAUGGUGGGGGUUGGAAAGUUUCGGCGGUUGGGGAUGGACUCGCGGCUUAUCAGCUUGUUGGUGGGGUAGUGGCUUACCAAGGCUUCGACGGGUAGCCGGCCUGAGAGGGUGACCGGCCACAUUGGGACUGAGAUACGGCCCAGACUCCUACGGGAGGCAGCAGUGGGGAAUAUUGCACAAUGGGCGGAAGCCUGAUGCAGCAACGCCGCGUGCGGGAUGACGGCCUUCGGGUUGUAAACCGCUUUCGCCUGUGACGAAGCGUGAGUGACGGUAAUGGGUAAAGAAGCACCGGCUAACUACGUGCCAGCAGCCGCGGUGAUACGUAGGGUGCGAGCGUUGUCCGGAUUUAUUGGGCGUAAAGGGCUCGUAGGUGGUUGAUCGCGUCGGAAGUGUAAUCUUUGGGCUUAACCCUGAGCGUGCUUUCGAUACGGGUUGACUUGAGGAAGGUAGGGGAGAAUGGAAUUCCUGGUGGAGCGGUGGAAUGCGCAGAUAUCAGGAGGAACACCAGUGGCGAAGGCGGUUCUCUGGGCCUUUCCUGACGCUGAGGAGCGAAAGCGUGGGGAGCGAACAGGCUUAGAUACCCUGGUAGUCCACGCUGUAAACGGUGGGUACUAGGUGUGGGGUCCAUUCCACGGGUUCCGUGCCGUAGCUAACGCUUUAAGUACCCCGCCUGGGGAGUACGGCCGCAAGGCUAAAACUCAAAGGAAUUGACGGGGCCCCGCACAAGCGGCGGAGCAUGCGGAUUAAUUCGAUGCAACGCGUAGAACCUUACCUGGGUUUGACAUGGAUCGGGAGUGCUCAGAGAUGGGUGUGCCUCUUUUGGGGUCGGUUCACAGGUGGUGCAUGGCUGUCGUCAGCUCGUGUCGUGAGAUGUUGGGUUAAGUCCCGCAACGAGCGCAACCCUUGUUCACUGUUGCCAGCACGUUAUGGUGGGGACUCAGUGGAGACCGCCGGGGUCAACUCGGAGGAAGGUGGGGAUGACGUCAAGUCAUCAUGCCCCUUAUGUCCAGGGCUUCACGCAUGCUACAAUGGCUGGUACAGAGAGUGGCGAGCCUGUGAGGGUGAGCGAAUCUCGGAAAGCCGGUCUCAGUUCGGAUUGGGGUCUGCAACUCGACCUCAUGAAGUCGGAGUCGCUAGUAAUCGCAGAUCAGCAACGCUGCGGUGAAUACGUUCCCGGG